rnacentral:misc_RNA from 1 species
UUUCCGUAGGUGAACCUGCGGAAGGAUCAUUAAAGUUAUAGUCCCCUGGCCCUUUCGGGUUGGGGUCUUCUAUACCACCCUUUGUUUAUUACACCUUUGUUGCUUUGGCAGGCCCGCCUUCGGGCUGCUGGCUCCGGCCGGCGAGCGUCUGCCAGAGGACCUAAACUCUGUUUGUCUAUACUGUCUGAGUACUAUAUAAUAGUUAAAACUUUCAACAACGGAUCUCUUGGUUCUG